rnacentral:rRNA from 1 species
CCCUUAGAUGUUCUGGGCCGCACGCGUGCUACACUGAGUGGAUCAGCGGGUCAGGUUGCGCGAAAGUGUUUCCUAAUCUUGAAAUCCGCUCGUGAUGGGGAUUGACGGUUGCAAUUUUCUGUCAUGAACGAGGAAUACCUUGUAAGCGCGGGUCAUCAUCCCGCGCUGAAUACGUCCCUGCCCUUUGUACACACCGCCCGUCGCUCCUACCGAUUGAGUGGUCCGGUGAGGCUUUGGGAUCUGGAUGGAAAGAGCGUUUCGCUGUUUCUGCCCGGAAAACUCAGUCGAACCUUAUCAUUUAGAGGAAGGAGAGGUCGUAACA